rnacentral:rRNA from 1 species
UGGCGGACGGGUGAGUAACGCGUGGGUAACCUGCCAUAUACAGGGGGAUAACACUUAGAAAUAGGUGCUAAUACCGCAUAAGCGCACAGGGGCGCAUGCCCCGGUGUGAAAAACUCCGGUGGUAUAUGAUGGACCCGCGUCUGAUUAGCCAGUUGGCAGGGUAACGGCCUACCAAAGCGACGAUCAGUAGCCGGCCUGAGAGGGUGAACGGCCACAUUGGGACUGGGACACGGCCCAGACUCCUACGGGAGGCAGCAG